rnacentral:rRNA from 1 species
AGUGAACGCUGGCGGUAGGCCUAACACAUGCAAGUCGAACGGCAGCACAGUAAGAGCUUGCUCUUACGGGUGGCGAGUGGCGGACGGGUGAGGAAUACAUCGGAAUCUACUUUUUCGUGGGGGAUAACGGAGGGAAACUUACGCUAAUACCGCAUACGACCUACGGGUGAAAGCAGGGGUUCUUCGGACCUUGCGCGAUUGAAUGAGCCGAUGUCGGAUUAGCUAGUUGGCGGGGUAAAGGCCCACCAAGGCGACGAUCCGUAGCUGGUCUGAGAGGAUGAUCAGCCACACUGGAACUGAGACACGGUCCAGACUCCUACGGGAGGCAGCAGUGGGGAAUAUUGGACAAUGGGCGCAAGCCUGACCCAGCCAUACCGCGUGAGUGAAGAAGGCCUUCGGGUUGUAAAGCCCUUUUGUUGGGAAAGAAAAGCAGCAGGUUAAUACCCCGCUGUUCUGACGGUACCCAAAGAAUAAGCACCGGCUAACUUCGUG